rnacentral:rRNA from 1 species
AUUGAACGCUGGCGGCAUGCCUUACACAUGCAAGUCGAACGGCAGCACGGGAGCAAUCCUGGUGGCGAGUGGCGAACGGGUGAGUAAUACAUCGGAACGUACCCAGUUGUGGGGGAUAGCUCGGCGAAAGCCGGAUUAAUACCGCAUACGACCUGAGGGUGAAAGCGGGGGAUCGCAAGACCUCGCGCAGUUGGAGCGGCCGAUGUCAGAUUAGCUAGNGGUGGGGUAAAAGCCUACCAAGGCGACGAUCUGUAGCUGGUCUGAGAGGACGACCAGCCACACUGGGACUGAGACACGGCCCAGACUCCUACGGGAGGCAGCAGGUGGGAAUUUUGGACAAUGGGCGCAAGCCUGA